GUACUUACCCAGAGUGGAGAUGCCAUGUUCAUAAAAGUGAUUUUCUCAGAGUGAGGAUUACCCAUUUUAUUCAAUGUGCUGACUUCUGUGAGUUUCAAAAUUUGAAAAUUUGACUGUAUUACUUGUGGCAUUGAAGGGCUGAGUUCACACCAUCCCCUG
rnacentral:snRNA from 1 species